UACGUAGGAGGCAAGCGUUGUCCGGAAUUACUGGGGGUAAAGCGCGUGUAGGCGGCAGGCCAAGUCUGUGGUGAAAUCGCUCGGCUCAACUGGGCGGGGUCCAUGGAAACUGGUCAGCUGGAGGACGGUAGAGGUGAGUGGAAUUCCCGGUGUAGUGGUGAAAUGCGUAGAGAUCGGGAAGAACACCCGUGGCGAAGGCGGCUCACUGGGCCGAUCCUGACGCUGAGACGCGAAAGCUAGGGGAGCAAACGGG
rnacentral:rRNA from 1 species